rnacentral:rRNA from 1 species
GACGAACGCUGGCGGCGUGCUUAACACAUGCAAGUCGAGCGGUAAGGCUCCUUCGGGAGUACACGAGCGGCGAACGGGUGAGUAACACGUGAGCAAUCUGCCCUUCACUUUGGGAUAACUCCGGGAAACCGGUGCUAAUACCGAAUGCGACCACUUCAGGCAUCUGACGGUGGUGGAAAGUUCCGGCGGUGAAGGAUGAGCUCGCGGCCUAUCAGCUUGUUGGUGAGGUAAUGGCUCACCAAGGCUUCGACGGGUAGCCGGCCUGAGAGGGUGACCGGCCACACUGGGACUGAGACACGGCCCAGACUCCUACGGGAGGCAGCAGUGGGGAAUAUUGGACAAUGGGCGAAAGCCUGAUCCAGCAACGCCGCGUGAGGGAUGACUGCCUUCGGGUUGUAAACCUCUUUCAGCAGGGACGAAGCGAAAGUGACGGUACCUGCAAAAGAAGCACCGGCCAACUACGUG